GAGUUUGAUCCUGGCUCAGGAUGAACGCUAGCGGCAGGCCUAAUACAUGCAAGUCGGACGGGAUCCGGUAGCUUGCUACCGGUGAGAGUGGCGCACGGGUGCGUAACGCGUGAGCAACCUGCCCAUAUCAGGGGGAUAGCCCGGAGAAAUCCGGAUUAAGCCCGCAUGAGACGGCGCUCCCGCAUGGGAAAGCGGUUAAAUAUUUAUAGGAUAUGGAUGGGCUCGCGUGACAUUAGCUUGUUGGGGGGAUAACGGCCCACCAAGGCGACGAUGUCUAGGGGCUCUGAGAGGAGAAUCCCCCACACUGGUACUGAGACACGGACCAGACUCCUACGGGAGGCAGCAGUAAGGAAUAUUGGUCAAUGGGGGGAACCCUGAACCAGCCAUGCCGCGUGCAGGAAGACUGCCCUACGGGUUGUAAACUGCUUUUGUACGGGAAUAACCCCCAAUACGUGUAUUGGGCUGAAUGUACCGUAAGAAUAAGGAUCGGCUAACUCCGUG
rnacentral:rRNA from 1 species